UUACAGCAGGUAAUGUCAGGUGACACUGUAAAGGUUCAUAAAAAUAACUUAUUACAGCAGGUAACUUCUGGUGACUUUCAGCAAGAUCAGGGGCAUGUGGAUCUGAUCACCCUCACAGUUGUCCACUGCAUCACUGGCGGUCAUCGAUACAUCUAUUAGCUUACCCGAAUCUGACAACCUUUUUAUCCCCCGGCGUGACCUCUUUAACGGAACAUCGUAGUCGAGCCAUUUCUCGGGGUAAGGGUGUUCGUCAUUCGCCUUCCCGUCCAUGAAAUGG